rnacentral:rRNA from 1 species
CGGACGGGUGAGUAACGCGUGGGUAACCUGCCUUGUACUGGGGGACAACAGUUAGAAAUGACUGCUAAUACCGCAUAAGCGCACAGUAUCGCAUGAUACAGUGUGAAAAACUCCGGUGGUACAAGAUGGACCCGCGUCUGAUUAGCUAGUUGGUAAGGUAACGGCUUACCAAGGUGACGAUCAGUAGCCGACCUGAGAGGGUGACCGGCCACAUUGGGACUGAGACACGGCCCAA